UAUGCAUUUUUGUUUUUUAUAUUUAUUAUUAUUAUUACAUUUAUUUAUUUAUUUGUGAUAAUACAUUUUGGUUACUUUAUAUAUGUGUUUGGCAUUUUCUCGUAUUUAGAUUUGUAGGCGAUCUUACGGUCACAUCACUGCUUUUAAAGGGACGGGUUUGGUAUCAUGAGAUUUUGGAUGUCCCCAUGUUGUUUUUUCUGCUUUUUCUAAUAAAGUGUAUUGCAUUGCAUACAAUAAAAUUGUCACAUAGUGAAG
rnacentral:lncRNA from 1 species